rnacentral:rRNA from 1 species
CCUACGGUGGGCAGCAGUGAGGAAUAUUGGUCAAUGGACGCAAGUCUGAACCAGCCAUGCCGCGUGCAGGAAGACGGCUCUAUGAGUUGUAAACUGCUUUUGUACGAGGGUAAACGCAGAUACGCGUAUCUGUCUGAAAGUAUCGUACGAAUAAGGAUCGGCCAACUCCGUGCCAGCAGCCGCGGUUAUACGGAGGAUUCAAGCGUUAUCCGGAUUUAUUGGGUUUAAAGGGUGCGUAGGCGGUCGGAUAAGUUAGAGGUGAAAUCCCGAGGCUCAACUUCGGAAUUGCCUCUGAUACUGUUCGACUAGAGAGUAGUAGCGGUAGGCGGAAUGUAUGGUGUAGCGGUGAAAUGCGUAGAGAUCAUACAGAACACCAGUGGCGAAGGCAGCUUACCGAGCUACUUCUGACGUUGAGGCACGAAAGCGUGGGGAGCAAACAGGAUUAGAUACCCUUGUAGUC